AAAGCAGGUUCCAGUGUUGCCGUAUUGAAACCCAACCCCCAGGUAGCCUCAGCCUGGGAAAGCAGGUUCCAGUGUUGCCGUAUUGAAACCCAACCCCCAGGUAGCCUCAGCCUGGGAAAGGAGGUUCCAGUGUUGCCGUAUUGAAACCCAACCCCCAGGUAGCCUCAGCCUGGGAAAGCAGGUUCCAGUGUUGCCGUAUUGAAACCCAACCCCCAGGUAGCCUCAGCCUGGGAAAGCAGGUUCCAGUGUUGCCGUAUUGAAACCCAACCCCCAGGUAGCCUCAGCCUGGGAAAGGAGGUUCCAGUGUUGCCGUAUUGAAACCCAACCCCCAGGUAGCCUCAGCCUGGGAAAGCAGGUUCCAGUGUUGCCGUAUAGAAACCCAACCCCCUGGUAGCCUCAGCCUGGGAAAGCAGGUUCCAGUGUUGCCGUAUUGAAACCCAACCCCCAGGUAGCCUCAGCCUGGGAAAGGAGGUUCCAGUGUUGCCGUAUUGAAACCCAACCCCCUGGUAGCCUCAGCCUGGGAUACGAUCCGAGACAGGAUCUCCCAUUCCACAGCACAUGACGGUAGAUAUCGGCCUAGGCAACACUGAGAAUAGAAUACAAGAUCUGAUAAAGAAUACAAGAUCUGAUAAAGACUACUACUACUGUCCUGGUGAAAGAAACACAUGCCUGGCCAAGAUAACAC